rnacentral:tRNA from 1 species
GCCGGGGUGACGGAACUGGUAGACGUAGCGGACUUAAAAUCCGCUGGGCCUUUGGGUCCGUGCGGGUUCGAGUCCCGCCCCCGGCA